UACGUAGGGUGCGAGCGUUGUCCGGAAUUAUUGGGCGUAAAGAGCUCGUAGGCGGUCUGUCGCGUCGGUCGUGAAAACUUGGGGCUUAACCCUGAGCUUGCGGUCGAUACGGGCAUGACUGGAGUUCGGUAGGGGAGACUGGAAUUCCUGGUGUAGCGGUGAAAUGCGCAGAUAUCAGGAGGAACACCGGUGGUGAAGGCGGUUCUCUGGGCAUGUCCUGACGCUGAGGAGCGAAAGUGUGGGGAGCGAACAGG
rnacentral:rRNA from 1 species